rnacentral:rRNA from 1 species
UAGGGAAUAUUGCACAAUGGAGGAAACUCUGAUGCAGCGACGCCGCGUGAGUGAUGAAGGCCUUCGGGUCGUAAAGCUCUGUCGCAGGGGAAUAAUAAAGUGAAUGUACCCUGAAAGAAAGGAUCGGCUAACUUCGUGCCAGCAGCCGCGGUAAGACGAGGGAUCCUAGCGUUGUUCGGAAUUAUUGGGCGUAAAGCGGGUGUAGGUGGCUUUGUAAGUCAGGUGUGAAAGCCCAGGGCUCAACCCUGGAAGUGCAUUUGAUACUGCGAAGCUUGAGUGUAGGAGAGGUUACUAGAAUUCUUGGUGUAGUGGUGAAAUACGUAGAUAUCAAGAGGAAUACCGGAGGCGAAGGCGGGUAACUGGCCUAACACUGACACUCAGACCCGAAAGCGUGGGGAUCAAACAGGAUUAGAUACCCCGGUAGUCC